CUGCUAUUUGUCAAAAGGAGCUCUUAGCAGCCCACUAGGCUUCCAAGAAGUAUAAAGAGGAUGGAAAAAGCAAGCAUGGAUGCUGCACAGUAUUGAAUGCCAGAGAAUACAGAAGUAAGCAAAAUGGCUAAAGUCUCUGCAGGCCAAGUAGUAUCCAAGCAAGAAACAGCAAGGACUAAUUAGAGACCAUACUGGAAGAAAUGCUGCACCAAAAGCCCCAUCCAGUCUAUUCAGUGAAGUCCCCAUAUGAAAGCUGAAAAUGCUAGGUUGGGAAAGCUUCCAGACAGCCGAACUCAAGAAGGUUCCUAGAGGAUGGGACACCUGAAGGGCCACACACGUGCUGCAGUCAUUCCAUCGCCUGCCCCUGGCUCAGCGCCCGGUGCCAACAGAACACCUUCAGGAUUCACAGCAGCGCAGAAACCAUGUCCAGGAUCCCGGCCUCUGCUUGGAACGGAACAGUGUCAUGGCGGAGACAACGGCCUUUGUCUUGCUGGGUGUGAAAACAUCCGCUGUGCUGGCUCCACUGCGGCAGAAUCAAGUUUAAAUGAAAAAAGUGAUUAAAGUCA